GUGGGGGUCACUGGUUGGUACCACGUGGUGACGUAAAACCGGCGUUUACAUUGGACAUUUGAUACUUCGCGCGUCAUACAUUAUGUUAGGGCUAAAUAGUUUUGUAUAUUGAGUUCAAACUGCUUGUGAAAGUAGGCUACUGUUUUGUCAACUCCAACACACUAGGAAGUGAAGGAAGUGAGGCUAACUUGUAAUGUAGCUAGGCUUGACUGGGGUGUCUUAAAAUCCUUUGCACGAACGUCGAAUAAUUUCCUGGUUUCUCUAACUAACUUCAUUUUUAUCUCAUGGAAUGUAUUUUCUUUAAAGGACUAUGUACUAACGUGGCAUAAUAAAUAGAAGCUUGGCUUAAAUGUACCAAAACGAUAGUUUGAAACUAUCUUGGAGCUGUCAUAGAUAACGUUAGUCGGGCUACUCUGAACUCGCACUAAAAUGUAACAGAAAUACGUGUCUGUAUUGUAUUCACCAGCACGUCGUUGAAUAAACGUAAGCUACAAUAUGAGCAACGGAAAACUCUCCUUGGUUGAUGGCGAAAUCAACGACAAUGAAAAUGUGUCGGAUUUGGAAAAAAAUAAAAUUUUGUCUGCCGGAGACAGCGAGGAGAUGCGCCUGGAGAACAAUAUACAACUCAACCGGAACGGCGACGAUACAACCCAAACCAUCAAACUAUACAAACGACGAUGGCUCAUCGUGUUGCUGUUCAGCUCGUAUUCUCUCUGUAACUCGUUCCAAUGGAUCCAGUACGGAAUUAUCAACAACAUUUUCAUGAGGUUCUACGGGGUCGAGUCUUUCACCAUAGAUUGGAUGUCUAUGAUAUACAUGUUGACUUACAUUCCCUUCAUAUUCCCGGUCACCUGGCUACUGGAUAAGAAGGGUCUCCGUAUUAUUGCGCUGGUGGCUACGGCCAUGAAUUGUGCGGGGACUUGGAUCAAGGUGACAAGCGUGAGACCUGAUCUGUUUGCGGUGACCAUGCUCGGACAGUUCUGUUGCUCCCUUGCGCAGGUAUUUAUCCUCGGGAUGCCGUCGAAGAUCGCCUCGGUGUGGUUCGGAUCGGAGGAAGUGUCCACCGCUUGCUCCAUCGGGGUCUUCGGAAACCAGUUGGGUAUAGCCAUUGGGUUCCUGGUCCCUCCCAUCCUGGUGCCUAACGUGGAGGACAUGGAUCAGCUGGCCUAUCACAUCAGUAUCAUGUUCUACAUCACAGCAGGAGUUGCUACGCUGCUCUUCAUACUGGUCGUCAUAGUGUUCCAGGAGCGUCCGGAGCUCCCUCCCACCCAGGCCCAGGCGACAGCUCGCUGCAUCCCUCCAGAACAGUACUCCUACACCGCCUCCAUCCUCAGGCUGCUCCGAAACAAACCCUUCCUCCUCCUCAUCCUCACAUACGGACUGAACGUGGGCUGUUUCUAUGCUGUUGGCACACUACUGAACCGCAUGAUCAUCGCACACUACCCUGGUGAAGAGUUGAAUGCAGGGAGGAUAGGCCUCACCAUCGUUAUCGCUGGCAUGGUGGGGUCGCUGAUCUGUGGUAUCUGGCUGGACAGAACCAAAACAUACAAACAGACUACCCUGGCGGUCUACCUCAUGUCCUUCGUAGGGAUGUUGGUCUACGCCUUCACCCUCAGUCUGGGUCAUCUCUGGGUAGUCUUCCUCACCGCUGGAGCUCUGGGGUUCUUCAUGACAGGCUAUCUUCCCCUGGGCUUUGAGUUUGGUGUGGAGCUAACCUACCCCGAGUGUGAAGGCACCUCUUCAGGCCUGCUCAACUGCUCUGCACAGGUGUUUGGUAUCAUCUUCACUAUCUGCCAGGGGAAGAUUAUAGAUAACUACGGGACGCUGGCAGGAAACAUCUUCCUCUGUGUCUUCCUCUUCAUCGGAUCGGUCCUCACAGGCUUCAUCAAGUCAGACCUGCAGAGACAGAAGGCUAACCAGUUGGCCAAGGCAGCUGCGGACGGACUGCUCUCUGGACAACAGCAGGGCUACGGGGCCACGGCUCUAAUCAAGAGACCGGACAGCCCUUCUGAUUCUUCUCAGGCUUGAUCACUAACCCCCCCUUAACCCUUACACUCUUAGCUCGAACUUCAGACGAGCCAAGGUCCCUUCAGAUCCCGAGGAUAGGAACGUCCCUGCCUCCGCAGUCCUCGAAGAAACCAGGUUUUAGAGACGGACGGUCUGCUGGACACCAGCAUCUCCCACCCUGUGGAAUGUGAAGUUUAGGGGAGGAGCACAAUCAGGAAGUGUUUACGACCACUUCCCUUUAACACUGUCCAAAAAGACAUCCAAUAUUUACGCAACAACAAAUAUUAUUUCUGUAUAAUUUCUAGAUGUGCCAUAUCUAAUCUACAAAAUGUUUACUGUCCAAAAUUAGCACAAAUAAUACUGUCGUUUUACAGUAUACACUGUUGCAUGACAUAGACUGACCAGGUGAAAGCUAUGAUCCCUUAUUUACGUCACUUGUUAAAUCCACUUCAAUCAGUGUAGAUGAAGGGGAAGAGACAG